CAGAAACCAUAGAUUGUAUACCACCGCCAUCCACACCAUUCUCUUGAUUUGUGCCAACGAUAGCAACCACUACUCAUAUGUACUUCUGUGUUUCCUGUUCUAAGGUGGCAUUGUUCUUCCCGUCAUCGGCCUCAGGCCUUUUAAGCAGCAGCUAUUUCAGGUCAAAGCAAAGGAAGUGCAUCAAUAGCAGACCCCAUAGUAAAAUGACAUAAUCUUCAAAGAAGUUAUUGAUGGAGGCCGGAGAAUGAGGCGACAACAAAUGGCGAUUGACACACAUAGACCCACCAAAAUUUCAAUUAAAGAAACUUAGGGUGUCUUGCUUUCUUCCCCAAUUUAAUGCACCUUCUAUUUUAGUUUCUAUGCUUUCAUCUGGAUCUUUGGAGGAAAAAAAAACAAUUGGAUGUGAUGAGAUUUAUGCAGAGGAUGAGUUGCUAGGAGUACUGCCACCUUCCUUCAAUUGUCUGACUCACUCAUCCAACCCGACUUGACAAAGCCAAACGUAUGGUUACAAAGAUAAGCAUGUAACCUAUUACUUUGUAAUGAAUCUAGGUAUCCUGGUAACAACUUUAUUGCUUUCUUGAACUCUGCUUUGAUAAGUUUGAUUCUAGGUUGCUUUUCGUAGGAAACAUGGAAACAAACAUACAUCAUUCGUGCAUUUUCUCUUCAAGUUGUAUGUUAGUUCUUUAUAGCUUCAAUUAUUUUACUAAAACCCGCCGCAAAAAUAGCUAGAUUAGUUUUUCAUGAGCUAAUACAUAUCAUUUCUUUCACUGCCAACAACUCGGCAUGGUCAGAUCAAAAUGAUGGUGGCAACAAGUUCACUCAUAACAGUAAAUUGUUUACUGUUAUGCAUGUAAUGCUAUAAGUUCUCUUCAAAGUUAAUAAUUUAUAUUAGUGUAAUCUUUUUACCAGUCGAUUUGGAUUUUGUUUAAUGGUUUUAAUUUCUUCAUCCAAGAUGGCUAAUGUAAGUUUUUCUAUUUUCAUCUUCGUUUUUUCAGUUGGAUUUGACAGUUGGUUUGUAUUGCGUUUGACAUCUUACUCUACUUCACAUGCAUGUUAAUCGGUUCAUUGGUUGAAGGAUUUAGGGAAGAAAUAAAUAAAUUUAUUUUGUGAGGUUUAUGGCUAUGUUAUAAAAUAAAUUUAGAUUGUUUUGAUUGAAAUUACAAAGGAUGGUUUAUAAAAUAUAGAUGCUUAAGUAUGUUUUGGUAGGGUUUUCCUUUGCUUUAACUGUAAAUUUGAUAAGAUUGUAAAUCUUACAACACUCUUGGCAACCGAUGGUGUUUUUGGAGUCUAAGUAAGGAAAUUUGAUAUUAGCGAUAAAUACAUGUUUUUCUUUUGAAAGUUUUAAUUUUAAUCUUAUUUUUUUUUUUGUUUUUAAAGAUAUGCAAGGGAAAAGAUGUUAAACCCCGGGUGUACAAAUCUAUUGAACCGUUACAAGGUAAGACCAUUAAGUCAAAAUGAAAACAACACUUGACACUUUACACCAUUGGAUAAGAAGAUUGAUAUACUAAGAUGACAAAUUAUGUGUUUUUUUGCAUUUACAGAUCACAUAGUGGCCUUACGUAAAUCCUGGAUAUAUGUUGGAGCGAUGGAGCAACUGCCCUUUCAGGUAUAAGUAUCAUGUUAUAAAUUUGCAUGGUUUUAAGUUGAGAGAAAAUGAAUAUUUUACAUGUUGAUAAUUAACGUUAAUUCUUAUUAACUUUGAAAAGUGUUUUUAAUAUUAAUAUUUUAGAAACAAAUGCUUUAUUUAGAGAAAUAAUAUGAAAAUUGAAAUGAAA